AUUGAACGCUGGCGGCAGGCCUAACACAUGCAAGUCGAGCGGAUGAAGGGAGCUUGCUCCUGGAUUCAGCGGCGGACGGGUGAGUAAUGCCUAGGAAUCUGCCUGGUAGUGGGGGAUAACGUCCUGAAACGGGCGCUAAUACCGCAUACGUCCUGAGGGAGAAAGUGGGGGAUCUUCGGACCUCACGCUAUCAGAUGAGCCUAGGUCGGAUUAGCUAGUUGGUGGGGUAAAGGCCUACCAAGGCGACGAUCCGUAACUGGUGUGAGAGGAUGAUCAGUCACACUGGAACUGAGACACGGUCCAGACGCCUACGGGAGGCAGCAGUGGGGAAUAUUGGACAAUGGGCGAAAGCCUGAUCCAGCCAUGCCGCGUGUGUGAAGAAGGUCUUCGGAUUGUAAAGCACUUUAAGUUGGGAGGAAGGGCAGUAAGUUAAUACCUUGCUGUUUUGACGUUACCAACAGAAUAAGCACCGGCUAACUUCGUG
rnacentral:rRNA from 1 species